CAGCCCUAUCACAUUGAAACAUAGGUUUUCGUCUGAUCACCAAAGUUAAGCAAUGUUGAACCUGAUCAGUAUCUAGAUGGGUGACCUUUUGGGAAUACCAGGUGCUGUAA